ACGAUGGUAGUUCAGUGGUAGAAUUCUUGCCUUUCAUGCAAGAGACCUGGGUUUGAUUCCCGGCUAAUGCA